UUUGGAGGUAUCGGAGCUACGAUAAGAGAUAUCUCAUUAAGGUUGUGUUCCGUGUUCUCUAGUCUACCAAGGCAUCACCACGUUGAUGAACUUUAUAUUGUUGAUUGUAUUGGGGUAUGACUGCGGAGGCAGCAAUUUACAAUACUGUUGAUCCAGGGAAUACUGAGACUUUGGGGUCAGUAAGGGGUUUAAUAUCAUUUAAUAGUUACAUAGUAACACUUACUGGUAUCCAUAUCCUGAAAAAUACCAAAAA